rnacentral:rRNA from 1 species
AUACGUAGGUGGCAAGCGUUGUCCGGAAUUAUUGGGCGUAAAGCGCAUGUAGGCGGUGCCUUAAGUCUGUCGUGAAACUGCGGGGCUUACCCCCGUAUGGCGAUGGAAACUGUGGCACUUGAGUGCAGGAGAGGAAAGGGGAACUCCCAGUGUAGCGGUGAAAUGCGUAGAUAUUGGGAAGAACACCGGUGGCGAAGGCGCCUUUCUGGACGGUGUCUGACGCUGAGAUGCGAAAGCCAGGGUAGCGAACGGGAUUAGAUACCCCGGUAGUCCUGGCUGUAAACGAUGGGUACUAGGUGUGGGAGGUAUCGACCCCUUCCGUGCCGGAGUUAACGCAAUAAGUACCCCGCCUGGGGAGUACGGCCGCAAGGCUUAAACUCAAAGGAAUUGACGGGG